CUGUUAGCAGUAGCCAUCUGUGAAGAAUUUAUGACAGCUGGAGCUGCACUUUUCUCACCACUUCUUGCCUUGGCAGCUGCUAUUCCCAGGAUUUCAGAAAGAAUUGAUUUUGGGUUCAGGGCCAACUGUUGAAGAUCUUCAAGCUUCUUUUCCAUUGAGGCUGCAGCAGCUCGUGAAUGAAGUAAAGAGUUCCUCAGAACUAACACCUUUAUCACUCUGCAAGUCAUUGGAUGACUGCUGGACACCCUCAUCU
rnacentral:misc_RNA from 1 species